UCCACUUCCACUUCUGCCAGCAUAGAUUCCAGCCAUCUCUGGUCUAAAAGAGUUCAAAAUGGGUCAUAAAGCAGCAGAGACCAACUCAACAUCAACAAUGCAUUUGGCCCAGGAAGUGCUAAUGAACAUAUAGAGCAGCAGUGGUUCGCGAAGUUUUGCAAAGGAGAUGAGAGUUUUGAAGAUGAGGAGCAUAGUGGCCGGCCAUCGGGAGUUGACAAAGACCCAUUGAGAGCAAUCGUUAACUCUGAUCCUCUCACAACUAUGCAAGAAGUUGUGAAGAACUCAACAUCAACCAUUCUACUGCCAUUUGGUAUUUGAAGCAAAUUGGAAAGGUGAAAAAACUCGACAAGUGGGUGCCUUAUGAGCUAACCAAAAAUUUUUUUUAAAAAUUGUCAUUUUGAAGUGUCAUCUUUUGUUCUACAUAACAAAAACAGUUUCUCAACUGGAUUGUUAUGUGCAACAAGAAGUGGAUUUUAUAUGACAACCAACAAUGGCCAGCUCGGUGGUUGGACCGAGGAGAAGCUCCAAAGCACUUCCCAAAGCCAAACUUGCACCAAAAAACGGUCAUGGUCACUGGCGGCCUGCUGCCUAUCUGAUCCACUACAGCUUUCUGAAUUCCAGUGAAACCAUUACAUCUUAGAAAUAUGCUCAACAAAUCGAUGAGAUGC